UACGUAGGGGGCAAGCGUUGUCCGGAAUCAUUGGGCGUAAAGCGCGUGUAGGCGGCCCGAUAAGUCCGCUGUGAAAGUCCAGGGCUCAACCCUGGAAUGCCGGUGGAUACUGUCGGACUAGAGUGCAGAAGGGGCAACUGGAAUUCUCGGUGUAGCGGUGAAAUGCGUAGAUAUCGAGAGGAACACCUGCGGCGAAGGCGGGUUGCUGGGCUGACACUGACGCUGAGGCGCGAAAGCUAGGGGAGCGAACGGG
rnacentral:rRNA from 1 species